GAUGAACGCUGGCGGCGUGCCUAAUACAUGCGAGUCGAGCGAACGGACGAGAAGCUUGCUUCUCUGAUGUUAGCGGCGGACGGGUGAGUAACACGUGGAUAACCUACCUAUAAGACUGGGAUAACUUCGGGAAACCGGAGCUAAUACCGGAUGAUAUUUUGAACCGCAUGGUUCAAAAGUGAAAGACGGUCUUGCUGUCACUUAUAGAUGGAUCCGCGCUGCAUUAGCUAGUUGGUAAGGUAACGGCUUACCAAGGCAACGAUGCAUAGCCGACCUGAGAGGGUGAUCGGCCACACUGGAACUGAGACACGGUCCAGACUCCUACGGGAGGCAGCAGUAGGGAAUCUUCCGCAAUGGGCGAAAGCCUGACGGAGCAACGCCGCGUGAGUGAUGAAGGUCUUCGGAUCGUAAAACUCUGUUAUUAGGGAAGAACAUAUGUGUAAGUAACUGUGCACAUCUUGACGGUACCUAAUCAGAAAGCCACGGCUAGCUACGUG
rnacentral:rRNA from 1 species